rnacentral:rRNA from 1 species
AGCGAACGCUGGCGGCAGGCUUAACACAUGCAAGUCGAGCGGGCGUAGCAAUACGUCAGCGGCAGACGGGUGAGUAACACGUGGGAACGUACCCUUUGGUUCGGAACAACCCAGGGAAACUUGUGCUAAUACCGGAUAAGCCCUUACGGGGAAAGAUUUAUCGCCGAAGGAUCGGCCCGCGUCUGAUUAGCUAGUUGGUGAGGUAAUGGCUCACCAAGGCUACGAUCAGUAGCUGGUCUGAGAGGAUGAUCAGCCACACUGGGACUGAGACACGGCCCAGACUCCUACGGGAGGCAGCAGUGGGGAAUAUUGGACAAUGGGGGCAACCCUGAUCCAGCCAUGCCGCGUGAGUGAUGAAGGCCCUAGGGUUGUAAAGCUCUUUCGGCGGGGAAGAUAAUGACGGUACCCGCAUAAGAAGCCCCGGCUAACUUCAUGCCAGCAGCCGCGGUAAUAC